rnacentral:lncRNA from 1 species
CUUAAAGGUCAUGUUUUCUAGGCCUGCCACCCUAUUGACUAUACACCUAUUAAGAGUAUCUUAAUGUGUUAAGGACCUUAGACAUUGAGUAAAAAAUACCCCUUCAUCUUAGAAACAAAGUACUUGAGGUCCAGAGAAAGUAAAUGGCCCAAUUAGAGCAGUAUUAGCUUCUUAAUUCCCACAGCAACAUAGUACCUGCACCAUUCUGUUCCUCUAGCAAUCAAUGGCUACAAAUGGCUAUCUGGCUGGUAAUUCACACCU